CCUGCAAUUGCAAGGUACAGAUUAUUAGAUAAACCUACAGAGGACUAUUCUCUGUCAGAGGACCAGGUGUCUAGCUGAAAUGUAGAUGUUUGAAUUGCCGAUGACUCAAGCUAGGGUAAGGAGUAAAUAAUGUAAUAGCAACCAGCUGUCUCACUGGCACCAGUCUCCCUGCCCCCUGAGGCUUUGAUACAGUCAGUAGGUGUCCCAUGCUGUGAAAGCCAGCAGAAGAGAGAUCAGAGGGAGGAGGGAAAAUCGGGGGUUAAAAA